UGGGUGACGAGUGGCGGACGGGUGAGUAAUGUCUGGGGAUCUGCCCGAUAGAGGGGGAUAACCACUGGAAACGGUGGCUAAUACCGCAUAACGUCGCAAGACCAAAGAGGGGGACCUUCGGGCCUCUCACUAUCGGAUGAACCCAGAUGGGAUUAGCUAGUAGGCGGGGUAAUGGCCCACCUAGGCGACGAUCCCUAGCUGGUCUGAGAGGAUGACCAGCCACACUGGAACUGAGACACGGUCCAGACUCCUACGGGAGGCAGCAGUGGGGAAUAUUGCACAAUGGGCGCAAGCCUGAUGCAGCCAUGCCGCGUGUAUGAAGAAGGCCUUCGGGUUGUAAA
rnacentral:rRNA from 1 species